AUCACUUCCCUUUCUGCAGCUUUAGCAGGUGUUUGCAUUUAUGUAUCAAAAAAAGAGAAAAAAUAAAUAUUUUUAUUCAGAGCACAACUGCAGUGGCUGCAAGUUGUGAGUACAUUAUGUGUCUCCAGACCUAAGCUUUGCUGUCUGAAGACAGACAUCCAUUCAGUGAGUGCAUAAUUGGCAAUUAGCUCCAUCGGAAGGGUGGGGACUGUGACUUGUGUAGCAGUACACAAGCAUUCAGGGAGAGAAGCAAGCUCUCAAAAGUAGUUUUCUGUUGGCUUGGCUAGAAGAUUUUGGCAGGGGGAUUGGAACUAGGUGAUCUCUAAAGUCCCUUCCAACCAAAACUGUUCUGUGGUUCUAUGCUUUUCUUGCUAUUCUCUGUCUUUUCAAUGACAGCAUCAAAAUUCAGCAUUAGAGAGAUGAAGCCUGAGAACAGAUAAAGCUUCUACAACCUGAAUUUGUUCUCACAGAUCAGAGGCUUCCAGGCACAGGACACGUAAUUAAAGACUUUAUGCACACUAAGGUCUGAAUUGAGCUUUACCUUGGGAAAAAUAAUCAUCGUUCUUGGAUACUGUUAUCCUGCUUUCACUGAACUUGAAAAAGAAAUUCAAACUGACAUGUGGAAUCAUUCACUUAGCCUGAAAUUAAAAUGUGCUGGGAUGUUACAGGUCUACCUGUACAACUAGUGCUGCUUACAGUUACACUGGGAUCUACAGAAGGGGAACAUAAAACAGCUUACAAUGCUCAGUUGACAAGUAUUUAUUUCUCGCUAUUUCAGCAUUGUAAUCUACCAUUUCUAUGCUCUUGUUCAACUGCAACAUGAAGCACGGUUUUUGAAAUCUUCAGUUAAAAAACAAACCCCCAAACCUGCUUUUGAAAACAGGUUUAAAAGCUUUUAAGUUCUUUUAAAACUUCACAGACCUUUGUGUGGAACAGUUAAAACUUCAUACUACUUAUAAAAGCACUUUCAUUUAUUGUUUCCAAUUAUAGAUGAGAUUUUCCUGAAUAUGAAAAUCUCAUCUACAAACUUGCCUAAAUAUGAGGCAAGUUUUUCAAAAUCCAGUGUUUGCACUGUCCAUCUGUGAUUCCAGUUCUCAUUUGGUGAUGCAGUUCUCAACUGAACACCACAAAGAUCUUUGGAGGUAAAACAUAAAUACAUUAAAAGCAGUUACAAACGUGACAUACAAUUGUGACCCCACUUCUUAGAAGAUUUUGCCCUAAAACAGAUCAGGCAGGACAUAUUCGAGGAGAAACAUCUGCUGUGCUGAAGAAAUUUGCUUCUGAUAGAAAUAAUGACAUUCUCUUCAGCCUAGAAUGUGUUAUUAAAAUGGGUGAGGCAAAGAGAGGCAAAGAUGAGCUGUAAAAGGGUAUGUGUGGUGCAUAUAUUUAACAUGGUUGAAUCUCUGUAGGAAAGACUAGCAGACAAGAAAUUUGGACUUCACAUUGUUGCAGGCAUGUUUUUAUAAAUAAGUAUAAUAAUAAUAAAUAGAGAAAACCACUUGUGAAAUGUGGACAAACACCAUUCUCUGGCCUUGCUUUGUAUCUGCUAAUUGUACACUGAAGUUAUAAUAUGCAAAUAUGCAAAUGCAAACCUCAUGCUAUUUUACCUCCUGGUUUCUGAAAGAGCAAAGCAGUGUGAUCUUGUGAAGGUGGACAGGACAUACCAAGUGCAACAGCAAAAGAAAUCAUCCUACUGUUUUUGUAAGUAUUUAGUAGGAAAGAGAAGGCUGUGUUCCUUUGUAAUAAAGCCCAUAAGGCUCAUAGGUCAGUGAAGAGAUAUCAUUUUUUCUGUUUAUUCAUUACUUUCUUUUUUAACCUCUGUUUUCUGGGAGCUGAUCCAGCUCAAACUGAUUGUAAAUAAAUCUGCAGGAUAUCUUCCCUUUGGAGAGGUCCAAAUGACUAAGAUUUGACCUGAGAGGAGACACCUGGUUACUCACCCAAAAAAAGCUGCCACAUGAGCUCUGCCUGUUUCUGGAAAAUCACAGCAAAUAGAAAGGAUGAGAUCACUUUGAUGCAGCAAAUGCCCUUUCCUAUGCUUUGUCCUGUUGUUUCCAGAACUGCUGGGUCCACAACUGCAGCCUGGUGCUGUCCCACAUGUGUUCAACAUCCCCACUUAAAUCUUCACUCAAGCACAAAACCAAAGGCUGCAGAGGAGCUGACAGGGAUGGGAUGUGAAAGUGAUGAUACUUAUUGUUUCCUGUGGUAGAAGGUGGCUUUCCUGGUUUACAUGAGAAACUCUGAGGACUCGCUCAGCAGUAUUAGUGUAAGCAAUAUGAUUUCUUGCAGCAAAAUAUCUGUAAGAGGAGCAAGAGUGGUAUUUCACAGCAGUGUUUCUCAAUCCCUUGUAACCUAACAUGUGUUAAACAUUUUUUUGGGAAAAGGACCUCUCUGGACAUUGCUACUGUAAUGCACCAGCAAUAACAUCAUAACUGGAACAAUCAAUAAAAAUUAGCUUUUGGCUGGUUUUUUUUGCUUAA